UCAUUACUCAUUUUCUUUCCUCUCUUCUUCUCACUCUCUGUUAACACAAAAUUCAAAUCUCCAAUCACCAUCCAAGGCAGAUCGACGUGGCUGCUAUAUUCCUAAAAUAAUUCCAACUAAGGUGUUUUUUAAUUUGGCAUGGGCAUCCAUAAAUAGCAGACAUCAACCGUUCAAAGUUUUUAGAUCUAUCUGUGACUAUAACAUCAAUUUGAUUUGCAGAGCUAUUUAUCAAUUGAAUGGAAACCGUUGAGGACCAGGCUAGAACUAAACCUCACGCAGUGCCAAUCAUACCCGUGGGUUCUACUACAAUCUUAUCCAGCUCUUGAGGGUAUGCAUCUGAAGUUUCUCGUUGCUCGGCUCCAAGUUUCUACCUUUUUCAAUUGGGAGGGAGGGAAAGUUCAGGGUAGCAGUUGCAGGACCAGAUAUGGGAGCUUCAGACAGAGAUGGUAAUGAUUGAGGGAAGGGUUUUGCUGUGUGUGGGUUAAGCUGGCUUGUAACUACUCUACCAGGUGUGUGGAUAGUUAUUUGGUGUUGAGUUUGAGGGUACUGUUUGGUUUGUGUUGGGAGCUUUAGAUUAUCUUCUUGGUUCUGACAAUGUUUCUGGUAGAGUUGAUGUGGAAGCUUGAUGUUAUGGUUCAGCUCGAAGUCCAUUGAAAUGAUCUUUUCUUUUUGUUUCUUUUGUUUACGAGCAGUAAUGUGUAGCAUAGCCUUCAUGAGUGACUUCUCAUAGUUUGAUUUUAGCAGUUUAGUGGCCAGUUUUACAUUUCUCCUUCUCUUCCUCAUAUUGAGUCUCUUCUUCUUACCACAAAUGACAACUUGUGUCUUUUGUAGAGAGUUUUGCCUGCUUUCCUCAUUCUUAUAGUUUUCACCAUGCCUUUCCCCUUCCUUUGUUACUGUGAUUGAGAGUUUUGAGCUUCCAGGAUUGUGCUGUUGGUUCUUGAAAGCUUCAAAUUUUUAGUUUUUCUUCCCUGCGUCUUUUUGUAUGAUGAGAGUUGUUUUGCCUUUCUUUUCAUUGCAAAAAGCUACCUCUCUAUCUUCCUCUUGAGUCACCUCAUUGUCUUUAGUCUGCUGAGGCUUAACAGUAGAUGUUUUCCCUUGAAUCCUUUCCAAAUGAAUUCUUCUUGUUGCUCUAGUAUGUUUUUUGAUUUUCCAAAUCCUGGUGGCGGUUCAGCAUAGGAUAUUGGAUCUACCAGUUGGAAAGCCGAGUUGGGAUGUAGAGUUUUAUAUCAGGAACAUGUAAUCAUCUAAUUAGCUUCAAAUUCAUUGACGGUUGGGCUCAGUAGAAAAAAUGGUGCUAAAAUGUGAAGAUUAUGUCAAUAUAACCAUGUCAAUUGAUCCUACUCCUUAAUUAAUAUUUAAUCAUUUUAACUUA